rnacentral:rRNA from 1 species
AUGGCGGCGCAAUUCCCCGUCGACGGCCGCUGGGUCUCAUCCGUGGUCGCGCUCUCUCGUCUCCCACCGCCGGGCACAGAGGCCUUCUACUUCGCUCGGGGCCAUGCCGAGCAGUGGCCGCAUCUCCCCGCCGCGCCGGAGGGCCACGCCCACGGCGUCCCUUGCGAGGUCACGGCCGUCGACUACUUCACGGACGGCGAGGAACCCUGCGCCCGGAUCACGCUCCUGCCUCGCCCCCACAACCCUCCGCCUGCGGCCAUCGACAUCCCCGCGCCGGGCAGGUUUGUCUUCUACGCCAAGCAGAUACAGCAGGGCGACUGGCAAAGGUCCUAUUUUCAAGUGCCCAAGGAGUGCGAGCGGCUGUUCCCGCCGCACCAGGCCGCGGGGGACAAGCAGGACCUGCUGCUGCACGACAUCAGCGGCAACUCGUGGAACAUGGAGCACACGCAUCGGGGCGCGACGCGUUCUCUGUCAAGGGACUGGCAGGAUCUUGUGCACGAGAAGGGUGUCAAGGUGCGCGACAUCAUUGUGUUCGUCCGCUGCCCCGACGGCCGGAUCCUCGUCGAUCUACGUCGCGCCACGCCGGUGAACAGGGACUGGGGAGGUCAAGAGGUGGCACAGGCGUCGCAGCUGGCCAUCGAAGGGGGCGCCUUUACCGUCACGUACUACCCAGGCCGCGGCGGGGAAUCGUUCGUCGUGCCGCGAGCAGUGGUGGAUGCUGCUGCUGAGAGAGAGUGGGAGGUGGACACGCCGGUUCGCCUUCUACCCAAGGACGAGGUGGUGCAUGUUCAGCAACAGGGCUCGGCGUCCGGCGUGAUUGCAAGAGGCACCAUCGGUGCAGUCGUACCAGGGGCUACUACAUGGCGCAGUCUCCAGGUUGAUUGGGACGGCUCCACAUCCUCAACACCUGCUGUCAACAAGUGGCAAGUCGAACCCGAGGGAACCCGUGAUGCCAAGAGACGCAGGCUCUCCAAGACUGUGCCUCCGGUAGCAUCGACAGCCCAAAGAGGAGUCAAGCUGUUUGGCAAGACCCUUGUUCCAGAGGGAAGUGGCUCCAGGAGCUAG